rnacentral:lncRNA from 1 species
AGAAGGGUAAGGUGAUGGGUGCAUGCAUAUGAAAGUAAUUACUUUUAGAGGCUCAAGGCUUCCCUUCGCCACAGGCACACCUGGUUGCCUUGUGAUCUUACACAAUUCUUUGCUCAUUAAGCACUAUGUACCCACAGUAAGCACUAUGUACUUAUUAAAGAUUGAGGUGAAUAAUCAAUUCACCAUUUAGAUAUUAAAAACAUGAAAUGGUUGAGCAAAUUACUCACUAUAUAUGCAUGUUUGUCAUGGAACUCAUAUGCUUAAUGCAAGAUGAUAUUACCAAAGCAUUACCUGAGUCCCUUGCCAUAGUUUGAGAGAUCUUUUGUCUUCAAACUCUGCACAUCAAAAUCCUAAUCAGAGCACAAAUCUAUGAUUAGCUACAUACAGACAAAAACAUGUCUGUAUAGGUAAUCAUUCUCUUACCAUAUGUCUACACAGUCACACAAUUAAAACAAGAGAUAGGAUGCUUAAACAGAUUUUCACUCAAACACAAUUAUACAAACCAGCAUACUGCAGCAGUCACCUUCACACUAAAAACUGUACAAAACCAUUUGGAAGUUGACUUUGAUUUCUUCUAAAGACUUGUAGUAGACACACUAAAGAAGCUCUGAGAGUUGGAAUCACUUUAAAACGAUUUUUCUUGAAUUAGUUAUGGAUUUUCAAAGUUCAGCUACAGUUUCAAGAUUGUCUGAAAAUUUUCUGCUAAAAACCUAUUUAAAGUAUCGGAAAAUCAAAACUGAAACUAUAUGUGACACAAAACUUCAAGUUAUUGAACAUAAGCAAAACAAUGUUUCAAAAAGACGAAAACAAACAAAAAUUACAAUUUAAAUGUAAGAGAACAUCAGCUGCAUUAGAUUACUAUAAGGUAAACUAAUGUAAAGUUCUAAAUUCUAAUCUUUCAACUAACUUUAAGCAACCCAAAUCUAACUUUCAAUUUAAGAAACAAAUAACAUGUAUAAGUACUUUAUAAUCUAAUCUCUAUAUCUGUAUAAUAUCAUACCAAAUCAAGCAAGAAUCAUCGGCAAACAUUGAGACGAAGAGCAAAGGAACAAAAUCAGAAAAUGUAUGCCUAACUUCCUGACCAGCAGACAUUUUUGGCUAAAAACAGUAUAGCUCAGCUAAGAAUUUCAGGUUGGUCUCUUCAUCACAAUUGUAAAAGACAACCUAAAGAUCAAUCUGGAACUGGAAUCGCACAAAAAGGAAUUUUCUACAAUUACUAAUGAUUUUUUAAAGUUCAGUUAGAGUUCCAGUUUUUCUUUGAAAAUUUACUGAUAAUUACCCACCUUAAAGUUGAACAGAGGCUGAACUUGGACCUUUGAUUCUUUGUUCCCUUCAGCUCCUCCCUACCAUUUAGCCAUAUUAGAACUGUCUUAACAAGUCUUUCGAAGGAACCACCAUCGCCGACAACGGCAGAAGAAACUAGAAAACUCAAAACUUGACAAAACAAAGAACCACUCACCAAGCUGUGUAGAGCCUGCGUAUUCCCCUAUCCUUCCCUUAGGAAGCUGCCCAGGGAAGUAGAAAUUGCACCAAACAGUCCGGCCCCCAACCCCCUCCUCCGCUGCGCCAAGCCCAGCCUCCUCUACUGACAUCUCCAACCUCGAACCAAAUUGGAAGAAAUUGAACUAACCAACCCAGAAACCUAAUUAGAGAAAGGAGAAGAGUACAAACCUCAAACCAAAUUGGAAGAAAUCGAGUGAGGAGCCAAAUGGACGAACCCCCAAAUCGACGAACCUUAAUCGAGUGACAGUGGCUUAGUCUCGAUUGAGAGAGGAGUGAUUGAGUUUGAGAGAGAAAGAAAUUGAGAGGAGUGAUUGAGAAGAAAUUGAGGAGGGUGAGAGCGGUUGAGUUCGAGAGAGAAAGAGAGAAGAGAGAAAGGGCGAUAGGUGAGAACGGUGACAGCGGUUGAGUUCGAGAGAGAAAGAGAGAAGAGAGAAAGGGCGAUAGGUGAGAACGGUGAGUGUGUGUGUGUGUGUGUGUGUGUGUGUGUGUGUGUGUGUGAGCGAUNNN